UACGUAGGGUGCGAGCGUUGUCCGGAAUUAUUGGGCGUAAAGAGCUUGUAGGCGGUCUGUCGCGUCUGCUGUGAAAAUCCGGGGUUCAACCCCGGACUUGCAGUGGGUACGGGCAGACUAGAGUGUGGUAGGGGAGACUGGAAUUCCUGGUGUAGCGGUGAAAUGCGCAGAUAUCAGGAGGAACACCGAUGGCGAAGGCAGGUCUCUGGGCCACUACUGACGCUGAGAAGCGAAAGCAUGGGGAGCGAACAGA
rnacentral:rRNA from 1 species